rnacentral:sRNA from 1 species
UCCCCUAGGGCAUCGAGGGCCAAGGCCAGC